rnacentral:rRNA from 1 species
UACGAGGGGGGCAAAUGUUGUUCGGAAUUACUGGGCGUAAAGGGCUCGUAGGUGGCCAACUAAGUCAGACGUGAAAUCCCUCAGCUUAACUGGGGAACUGCGUCUGAUACUGGAUGGCUUGAGUUUGGGAGAGGGAUGCGGAAUUCCAGGUGUAGCGGUGAAAUGCGUAGAUAUCUGGAGGAACACCGGUGGCGAAGGCGGCGUCCUGGACCAACACUGACACUGAUGAGCGAAAGCCAGGGGAGCAAACGGG